UAAGCCAGUGUUCACAUUUCCAAUCCUGUCACCCAAAGCAAGUAGUUCCUGCAUAGAUCAAACAUUACCAAGAUUAUUUGGGAGUCACCACUUACCAUAAAUGAUAAGAACUUCUCCGGUAAACAGUGAUGGAAAUAAAACAAUGGCAGAAAAGAUAAUAGAAACCUCGUAAGUCAUGUUGUCUAUGUCAAGCCUCAUGUCUCUAUGCUGAUCUCUCGUAUGUCUAGAGCCAUAAAAUGCUGCGCGGUCUACAACCAUAAAACUCUGAAAAACAAAAAAUGAUUCAAGUCAGCCACUAAUUACAGGAAAUUAAUAAACAUAUAAUUUUCUGAUAUCAAGAAUCUUAAUUAAGUUGGAGUUAACAAAUCUUAAUAACUGGGUGAUAUGGCAUUUUCAGCCUUUGAUAGUCUUAUCAGUUUCAGCCGCAAUAGUGGCAAAAUUGCCUAUGGAAUAAUAAAUACCUCUGAUGAAAACCGGUUGUGGAGGCCAGCAUCACCAGAGAACAUUCGGUACCUCUCAUUCAGUAUCCUAGAUCUCCCAGACCUGUCACCACUACGCCAUGCAAUCGCAGGCAAAGGCCUCGGAUGCCUAGAGGAGUAGCUUUCACCAACCAACUGCGGCCCCUCAUUCAAAGGUGCCACAUGCCCCAACCGCAAAUUGCUUGAGGAAGCCCUGAAAGUUGGGCUUGACCUCUGGGAGUAGCUGCUGCGGACACCUCUCACAGAUUGAGAUGAAGUGCCAGAAAAACUUUGUGCAACAGUAGAGUUUCUAUUUGCAAAGAAAUCAUGGUAGUAUGCACCAUCGUCCACAGAUGUAUAUGUGGCAUUACUUCCAACAAGAAAGUGGUUCGUCUCAGGACUCAAACCAGUGCUCUCUGCAAUUUCACAAGAAGAAAUAUUUACAGAAAUAAUCAGAUUUUUUCCCCCUUUAAGCAAAGGAUGGUCAGAUCAAAAUCCAAGAUGGUUAAAAGAUGACCAUUACUAACCUGAAACAAGGAUCCUUCCAUGACCCAGGGACAUCCUAACAUGGCUCCAUUCCAUAGUUGAAGCACCAGAACUCUGACCUGACAGAUCUACAGAACUGGAAUGGUUGAUAUGGUGGCUUGUAGAAUGGGAACUGUGGGAAUGAUUGUUCGACAGAUGAGUCCUAGCUGAAUUAGAUUCAAAAUUAACUGCAGGACGGAUUCUCACAUUCCUCGUAGAACCUUCACUCCUAAUAAGAGUCCAUUGCUUCCAUAUGCAGGGUUCAUAGAAAUUUGAUCCUGGGGCAUGUGCUGAGAAUCUAUACUUCGUUUGUCUGGCCGUAAAUCAGAAGAUACAGGGAGAUCAGAGGAACUUCCGGCACUGUAGUAUCUGCUUGAACUUCCUCUGUCACAGACAGAAGGAAUGCCUGGGUUUUUCCGCUUGUGAGAACCUCUUCCAUUGCCCCCAGUAAGAUCAGCAAACCCACCAUCAGUCCACAUUUGUCUUUCAUAAUUUGAAGAAGAUGCAUGAUGUCCAUAAUUUUCUUGUGCAGGACAGAUGGUUGCAGUGUUUGAUGAAUGGAGGAAAAAAUCAUGAGAUGGACCUGGAGCAUCUGGUUGAUAAUGCAAUUGUUCAACAGUUUGACCUGGAGGGAUACAUCCAUUGGACUCAGGCACAGAGUUCCAAUGUGAAGCAAAAUGCACACCAUCUCCAGAAAUGUUCUCUACAGGAAAAAAGAAAGAGUUGUCAUCUGCAGUUUCAGCACCCCCUGCAAUAAGUCCAAAAUUAGCAACAGCCAUGAGCAAAGUAGUUAGUCUAAGAAACAAGUACCCUACCCCAAUGACAAAACAGUAACUAUCCCACAAAUCAAGUGUGUUAUUCAUCCAACAAUCCAGCUUGCUUUUGCAAUUUCUGUUCAUCAAGUUACCAAUCAUAGACAAGUACCACACCAAGGAAUAAUGGGAACUUCAGAAUUUUCAAGGGUAGUCCAUCUGUCAACUAUUACAUCAAGCCAUCCAAUGAUUAUUACUCCCAAUUAAGGCAUAGUUGUUUAGACAUGUCAUACAAUUCCAGCCAUGCAUAAAGCUAAAAGAUUAACACAGGAAGGCAUCCGAAACCAUAGCCAACAGUUUCAAGGAAUAAUACAGGGCCAAGUAUUCAAAAUUCUACACAAGCAUUUUUAGUUUAAUUGCAGCAAAUAAAAAUUAAUUGCAAGUAAAAGAAUUUAAGAGCACCCUACCUAAAUUUGGGUAAGGCUCUUCUCCACGCAUUUGAUUCCAACUCUGAUCAUGAUCAUUCUCAAACAUUUGGGAUGUACUUAAUAAAUGCCUAUGCCUCAUACUAGUGAUAAUUUUAUAUCCCUUGACUCAGACUCAACCUGCAAAGAUAGAAAAGUCCCUUUAANNNNNNNNNNNNNNNNNNNNNNNNNNNNNNNNNNNNNNNNNNNNNNNNNNNNNNNNNNNNNNNNNGUAUAUGCAAAAAAUAUUGUCAUAGAUACUACUAGUUUAGCCUGUCAAAAAUAAAAGUUUGAACAGCGAAACAUAAAAAUUGAAAGUUUUAUAAUGGUUCCUGGCUUAUUGAACUUGAAUCAGAUCAAGAAAGAACCCACCAACCAAAAUCAAGUUAAGACUAAAAAGACAUAAUCAAAAGAGGUUAGCAACACAGAUGGAUUAAUAGAUAUAUUAUUCCACCCAUAUCUUUUGGUAACAAAUGAAAACUUUAGUGUCUGAAAACAUUGCUACAGCCAUAAUAUGCAACCAAACCACUCAGCUAAUUGUUACUUCAGUAAGAAUGCAAAAGUUCACAGCUCUUCCUAUGGUUAGAUUUCACAUUCUGAUCCCUCAUUAUUGUGAUAGGUGAUCGGCUUUGGAUUCAGAAAUUUAUGCUGCAGAAACAAGUGUCACUAGACAAGCACAUGCCGCCACCUAUCUCCCUUCAAGUUAACAGGAAAACCAACUCUACCAAAUGGAGUCAAUCUACUCACUCAUAUUCAGAUACUUAACCUCUAUCCACUAUUACUGGGAGAGUCUGCUUCACAUUCUGAGGCCAAUGAAACAAAGAGCAACGAAGUGAAGACAUGAGAGAAACAAGGAUUAAUUAACUAAAAAAGAGAUUUGAAACUGGAUGCUGGGUACACACGCUACCCUCACACCCUG
rnacentral:lncRNA from 1 species